ACGAACGCUGGCGGCGUGCCUAAUACAUGCAAGUAGAACGCUGAAGAGAGGAGCUUGCUCUUCUUGGAUGAGUUGCGAACGGGUGAGUAACGCGUAGGUAACCUGCCUUGUAGCGGGGGAUAACUAUUGGAAACGAUAGCUAAUACCGCAUAACAAUGGAUGACACAUGUCAUUUAUUUGAAAGGGGCAAUUGUUCCACUACAAGAUGGACCUGCGUUGUAUUAGCUAGUAGGUGAGGUAAUGGCUCACCUAGGCGACGAUACAUAGCCGACCUGAGAGGGUGAUCGGCCACACUGGGACUGAGACACGGCCCAGACUCCUACGGGAGGCAGCAGUAGGGAAUCUUCGGCAAUGGGGGCAACCCUGACCGAGCAACGCCGCGUGAGUGAAGAAGGUUUUCGGAUCGUAAAGCUCUGUUGUAAGUCAAGAACGGGUGUGAGAGUGGAAAGUUCACACUGUGACGGUAGCUUACCAGAAAGGGACGGCUAACUACGUGCCAGCAGCCGCGGUAAUACGUAGGUCCCGAGCGUUGUCCGGAUUUAUUGGGCGUAAAGCGAGCGCAGGCGGUUUGAUAAGUCUGAAGUUAAAGGCUGUGGCUCAACCAUAGUUCGCUUUGGAAACUGUCAAACUUGAGUGCAGAAGGGGAGAGUGGAAUUCCAUGUGUAGCGGUGAAAUGCGUAGAUAUAUGGAGGAACACCGGUGGCGAAAGCGGCUCUCUGGUCUGUAACUGACGCUGAGGCUCGAAAGCGUGGGGAGCGAACAGGAUUAGAUACCCUGGUAGUCCACGCCGUAAACGAUGAGUGCUAGGUGUUGGAUCCUUUCCGGGAUUCAGUGCCGCAGCUAACGCAUUAAGCACUCCGCCUGGGGAGUACGACCGCAAGGUUGAAACUCAAAGGAAUUGACGGGGGCCCGCACAAGCAGUGGAGUAUGUGGUUUAAUUCGAAGCAACGCGAAGAACCUUACCAGGUCUUGACAUCCCGAUGCUAUUUCUAGAGAUAGAAAGUUACUUCGGUACAUCGGUGACAGGUGGUGCAUGGUUGUCGUCAGCUCGUGUCGUGAGAUGUUGGGUUAAGUCCCGCAACGAGCGCAACCCCUAUUGUUAGUUGCCAUCAUUCAGUUGGGCACUCUAGCGAGACUGCCGGUAAUAAACCGGAGGAAGGUGGGGAUGACGUCAAAUCAUCAUGCCCCUUAUGACCUGGGCUACACACGUGCUACAAUGGUUGGUACAACGAGUUGCGAGUCGGUGACGGCGAGCUAAUCUCUUAAAGCCAAUCUCAGUUCGGAUUGUAGGCUGCAACUCGCCUACAUGAAGUCGGAAUCGCUAGUAAUCGCGGAUCAGCACGCCGCGGUGAAUACGUUCCCGGGCCUUGUACACACCGCCCGUCACACCACGAGAGUUUGUAACACCCGAAGUCGGUGAGGUAACCUUUUGGAGCCAGCCGCCUAAGGUGGGACAGAUGAUUGGGGUG
rnacentral:rRNA from 1 species